GCCUUAGGCAGAAGGUUUCUCCGACUUGAGUGGCUUCACCACCUCCCAGGUGAAGUCAGGGUCGUCCCUUCCAAAGUGGCCGUAGGCCGCCGUCUUGAGGUAGCGCCCGUUGCCGCCUUUCUUGAGGUCAAGGUUGAUGAUGAUCAUGCCAGGCCUGAAAUCGAAGUUCUCCUUGACAAUCUUGAGGAUCUCCUUGUCGGGGAUCGCGCCGGUGCCGUACGUGUCGACGAACACGGAGAGAGGCUCGGGCACGCCGAUGGCGUAAGACACCUGGACGAUGGCGCGGCGAGCAAGGCCGCUGGCGACGAUGCUCUUGGCAGCCUGCCUUGCGACAUAGGCUCCGCUGCGGUCAACCUUGGUUGGGUCCUUGCCGGAGAAAGCGCCACCACCAUGGGCUCCCCAGCCACCGUAGGUGUCAAUGAUGAUCUUGCGGCCAGUGAGGCCAGCAUCGCCGUGAGGUCCACCAAUGACAAAGCGGCCAGAUGGGUUAAGGUGGAAGAUGGUCUUCUCGUCAAGGUACUGCUCAGGGAUGACAGGCUUGAUGACAUGCUCCUUCAGGUCAGCAGCGAUCUCAUCAUUGGUCACUGUCUCGUCGUGCUGGGUGGAGAUGAGGACG
rnacentral:lncRNA from 1 species